UUGAAAAAGUAGAUAUGACGGAGACAUAUCAGCGGCCACAUAGGCGGGCCUCUCCGGCGGCGGCGGCAACCUGCAAGGAGAGGGCGACGACAUGGAUCGGUCCCUGUAGGAGAGAGAAGAUGGGAGAGAGGCAGAGAAGAAAGGAUAGGUGGGAGAAUGAGAGAGGAAAGAAGAGAGGGAGUCCCAGUGGUGGAUAGGAGAGGGUCACUGGCCGGCGCCGGCCUACGGCGGCGAGGUCAGAUGCGAUCUGGAGGGAGCAUGGGAUCGACGACAGCGGCUGGAAGCCAGGAGGGCUGGCCGAGGACGAGGGUGAGGACGCGAGGAUUGAAGAGGGUCUUCCUGUGUUCAUCGUGUGGCCAAGGAAGAGGACAACGCCGCGGGGUUGAAUAGGUCAUCCCUUUGGUCACCGCCUUCCUUGUCCAUGCUCUACUGCUGGGUGAAGAUGAGGGUUUUCUCCAAUGAUUAUGGUGGCAUGAGGAGGAGAUCGACGGCCAGAUGCUUGUGGCUGCCGCACAAAACAUGAUCGCUUGCUGACCUCGAUGUCCAGCCGCAAUGGAUUGUCCCCAUGAGUGGUGAUGCAGUCCCUCGAAUUUAUCCCUUGUCGCGUGUAUCCUGUAGUAAGCAUAACCCGAUGCACCUCCAUGUCGGCUUAGAUCUGGUAUGACUGCUUAUUUGCUCUAAUGCUGGCUUGCUAUAUGGUUUUAUUCUCAUUUUUCAUGCCAGACUUGUAAUUUUGGUUGUCACAUUUUCAUAUCGUAUGAGGAAGAAGUCUCUUGGGUUGCUCACACAGAAUUUUGCCAAGCUGUUCCUCACCAUGGAGCAGGUUAGCCUGAGCUCACUUGAUGAAGCUACAAGGUUCCUCCUUGGAGAAGGCCAUGAGGAGUACAAUACGAGAAGUUAGUAAUUCUUUGGUUGCAUGACUAUAAAUACUAAUCCAAGGCGUUGUUGCUCUUUGUCCCCAUCGCUAGCCAGGUUUUCACAUUAGGGGUGGAGGAAUAGGGGGCAAGAGGCCAGCGGUGUGGGUGGAGUAGAGAGGCUAGAGACCCAGGCGGUGGAUGCCUUAUGGGUGGAGGAGAGGCUGACGAUGGGGACAAGGAGCAACAGCAUCAUGGAUUUGCAGGGAAGGGGAGGUCCCGGCGGUUAAAGAUGGUGUGCACGGGAGGAGCUCAGAGCGGCACUCCCAUGGAGGGAUGAUGAUGUCAAGGUGGAAGGAUUUUAUGAUAUAAAAGAGAACAACAAGAGGGUUUUCAUCUUUUUUAGCUGCAGGUUAUGUGAGGAGGUGAGGAUAAUUGGAUAAACAUUAUUUCAGAUCCACCCGACUCAUCCCAAGUUUUUGCAAGGCUCGUCUGCACACAUCAGUAGCUAUGGAAAGAAAGCUUGUACUGGAGUGGGUUCCUUUGUAUGGUCUUGGAAGAUUUUGCGGUCAAAGAGACGACCUCUGAAGCCCAUCAGAAAGCAUGGCAACGACUGAAGGUUAGCGCAUUUCAAGAAGCGCCUACUUCCAUAGGGUGACAAUCACGUGUAGGAUAAAGUGCGAUGUCUUGCCCGAGGGGUUGGAGCAGGACUGCAGGAGGAGGGACAAGAUCUUGCUAUUAAUGAACUGUCUAGAAUAAAUUGUGGAAAAAUCACUGUGAUGGGAAUUUCCUGCAAUAUAUUUGUUUGUUACACAAAAAGUUGCAUAUAUGUGUUGCUGAGACUCUCGAGCAGCGAGAAGCUGGAUCAACCAUGGAAGUUGUCGCUGUACAGACAAAAGCAAUUGCUGACAAGAUCGAGGACCAGGCCAAUGUGGUCGUCGCGCACAAACCAGUGUGGGCCAUUGGCACCGGUAAAGUUGCACCAUCGGCGCAGGCACACGAAGAGGCUGAAGGUGGUAGCUUACUGAACACUCAUUUUGGAAAAAAUCUGGACAUGUGUAGUGCUGAUAAAGAAAUGCAGCUGCUACCUGGAUUUGCCGCUGCCACUGCCUCGAGUCGCUUUUGCUUGGAAAUCCAGUUGCCAGCAUGGUAAUUUCUUUCGGGUCUCAACUCUCCUCAUGUCUCCCGCACUUGCUUGCUACAGGUUCUUGUUGUAUGUGUGCUUGUUGCCUUAGUGACGUGUGUCCAGGCACGCAUCGUCUUUGUCUGCCAGGGUUGGCGCUGCUACUUAGUCGGUUACAGCGAGUAGGAAGCUGAUAGGGUGGUAUUUCUCCCUGGUCAGCCAAGGAGGUCGCAUGUCUCUCGGUUCUCUGGGCAUGUCAUCGUGAACCAGCAGAAUGGAAGGAUGCUCUUCUCCUAGUUCUUGGAGGCUCAGGCACAGCCCUGACGCAAGCCUCUCCUUCUCUGUCUCAAUUGGGAUUUCUUACUUCCCUCAUUCACUUCUUUUUUGUUUUUUCACUUAGUCACUUAUUUCUGGAAUGGUUUUGUAGAUAUCAUCUUGUGCUCCUUGCAGUUCAAUAAUGUUUUUGUUGCUACUUGGGGUGCAUACCUGAAGUAAAAUAAGUAAUAUUUUUGUUCCAUGUACAUACUGGACCAGGUUGCUCAUCAAUUCGAUGUGGGCAUGUGGUGUUGCUUCUGAGCUAGGACCUCUCCCAUGAUCACUACAUAGAAAUAGAACAUCCAGUUUGGUUUCUAAUGUCAUGUCUAUUUUUACCUUAGCAAAAAAGAUAACCAGUUUAUAUUGUAGUGUGGUUCUCAGUUUGUCGUUUCCAACUACUCCCUCCUUCCCAAAUAUAAGUCUUUCUAGAUAUUCCACCAAGUGACUACAUACGGAGUAAAAUGACUGAAUCUACACUCUAAAAUAUGUUUACAUACAUCUGUAUGUUUUAUUCCAUUUGUGUCUAAAAAGACUUAUAUUUAGGAACGGAGGGAGUAUUACAUUGUCCGGAACAUCUAGGAACGACCUUUUUGUGUCCCAGAUAUUAUAUUAUUUCAUGAUAAUCUUAUCCUGUUGGUGUUGCAUACAAUCAAAGUAUGUUCUUAUAAACAUACUUGUGGCUAGCCAAAUUUUAUAGGCUGAACCUUAUUUUUAUCAUCAUUAGAUACAACCUUUGUAUCUGCUUUGCCAGUUGUAGCUUGCCAGGGUGCGACCUAGUGGUUGGUGGCGGCUAGAUCCACUCUUGGAUCCUUCUUCUUCCACUUCCCCGCCGGCGAGGUCAGCUGCGACCUGGUGGUACCUGACAAUCUCGAUCCACUCUAGGAUCCUUCUUCUUCCACUUCCCCGCUGCCUAACACCGAGCACCGGUCAGGGAGCAUGGGAUCGACGACGGCGGCCGGAAAUAUUAUUUAACAUGGGACUUCAUACCACCAAAUAAGAAUGUGUGUGUAUAUAUGUCUCAUUGUACACCAGAACACGCCAUUUUUUCAUUUAUUUUCAUACGUGCUUGCCCAUGCACAUAUUUUGUUUUAAAUAAGACUAUAAUAUUAAGUUAAAAUGUGUAUAUUCAUAUCAUUGUACACAA